rnacentral:lncRNA from 1 species
CUCGAACUCCCGACCUCAGGUGAUCCUCCCACCUGGACCUCCCAAAGUGCUGGGAUUAUAGGUGUGAGCCACCGCGCCCGGCCUUAACACAAUCUUUCUAGCGGGAGUGACAUGGGGGCCAGUGGGGAGGUGGCUGGACUCAUCAGGUGGGCAGUGGCGGAGGCCUGGGCUGUGCUGGUGACCGGGGAGGGAUGAGAGGGGCUGCAGUGUGGAUAGAGUUGGAAGGCAGGAAGGGUGGACCAGCUGUCAGCUGAGGUGAAGAGAGGACAGAGAGCCGCACUGGGCAUAUGGAUAAGGUGUAACUAGGGCAGAGCUGCUCUUUAAAGCCACCAUUCCAGGGGGUGUAGGUCAAUGGAAGGGUGUCCACUGGCCUGGGCUGUCCAGGACAGAGGCCCUGUGUCCUGGCCCCAGCCAAGUGUGCUACAUGCCCAACUGCGGGAGGCUGGAAGCCUUCGCCCUGAGGGAUGUGCCCGGCCUGCUGGGCGCCAAGCUGGCCGUGCUGCAGCUCUUUGCCGGCUGCCUGCGGCGGCGGCUGCGGGAGGUGAGAGCUGGGGUGCUGGGUGUGGGGGCGAGGGGUGGGGACGCCCCCUGCGUCACGUGACCUCAGCCGAGUCUGUCCACAGGAGGGGACCCUCCCCACACCUGUGCCACCUGCUGGACCCGGCCUCUGCCUCCUGCGCUUCCUGGCCUCUGAGCACGCCCUGCUGCUGCUGUUCAGCAAUGGGAUGGUGCAGGUGAGCUUCAGUGGAGUCCCGGCCCAACUGGUGCUGAGUGGCGAGGGUGAGGGUUUGCAGCUCACCCUCUGGGAGCAGGGGUCCCCUGGCACCUCCUACUCCCUGGACGUCCCGCGGAGCCACGGCUGCGCCCCCACCACCGGACAGCACCUUCACCACGCCCUCCGCAUGCUGCAGAGUAUCUAGUGCCCCUGAGGGUCAGAGUGGACCCCUGCAUGGUAGUGCCAGGGACCCAGGCUCCAUUUCCAUUCCUGUGGCUCCCCCAGAGGGGCUGUCCUGGGGGAGGGCUGGGGGGCACACGGGAGGUGGGUUCUUGCCUUGUGGCAUGACUGUUCAACCCAGACUUUGCUGGGAUCUCUUCCUUUUUCAUUAAAGACAAU